UGUAUGCAGGUGUGUUUCUUGUUCUAC
rnacentral:sRNA from 1 species